UGGGGAAUAUUGCACAAUGGGCGCAAGCCUGAUGCAGCCAUGCCGCGUGUAUGAAGAAGGCCUUCGGGUUGUAAAGUACUUUUAGUCGGGAGGAAGGUGUCAAGGUUAAUAACCUUGGCAAUUGACGUUACCGACAGAAGAAGCACCGGCUAACUCCGUGCCAGCAGCCGCGGUAAUACGGAGGGUGCAAGCGUUAAUCGGAAUUACUGGGCGUAAAGCGCACGCAGGCGGUUUGUUAAGUCAGAUGUGAAAUCCCCGGGCUCAACCUGGGAACUGCAUCUGAUACUGGCAAGCUUGAGUCUCGUAGAGGGGGGUAGAAUUCCAGGUGUAGCGGUGAAAUGCGUAGAGAUCUGGAGGAAUACCGGUGGCGAAGGCGGCCCCCUGGACAAAGACUGACGCUCAGGUGCGAAAGCGUGGGGAGCAAACAGG
rnacentral:rRNA from 1 species